rnacentral:rRNA from 1 species
GACGAACGCUGGCGGCGUGCUUAACACAUGCAAGUCGAACGGAAAGGCCCUGCUUUUGUGGGGUGCUCGAGUGACGAACGGGUGAGUAACACGUGAGUAACCUGCCCUUGACUUUGGGAUAACUUCAGGAAACUGGGGUUAAUACCGGAUAUGAGCUCCUGCUGCAUGGUGGGGGUUGGCAUGUUUCGGCGGUUGGGGAUGGACGCGCGGUUUAUCAGCUUGUUGGUGGGGUAGUGGCUUACAAAGGCUUUGACGGGUGGCCGGCCUGAGAGGGUGACCGGCAACAUGGGGAUGGAGAAACGGCCCGACUCCCACCGGGAGGAAGAGGGGGGGAAUUUGGACAAUGGGGCGGAAGCCGGAGGAGGCAACGCGGGGUGCGGGAGGCGGGCUUCCGGUUGGAAAACCGCUUUCGCCGGGGCCGAGCCGGGAGUGACGGUACUUGGUAAAGAAGCACCGGCUAACUACGUG